AAAUGAAUUGACGGGGGCCCGCACAAGCGGUGGAGCAUGUGGUUUAAUUCGAUGCAACGCGAAGAACCUUACCAAGAUUUGACAUGGAAGCGAUCGGCCUAGAGAUAGGUCUUCCCUACGGGGCGCUUCACACAGGUGGUGCAUGGUUGUCGUCAGCUCGUGUCGUGAGAUGUUGGGUUAAGUCCCGCAACGAGCGCAACCCUUAUCUUCAGUAGCCAUCGGGCAAGCCGGGCACUCUGGAGAGACUGCCGUGGAUAACACGGAGGAAGGCGGGGAUGAGGUCAAAUCAUCAUGCCCUUUAUGUCUUGGGCAACACACGUGCUACAAUGGCUGCAACAAAGCGAAGCGAAGCCGCAAGGUGGAGCAAAGCGCAAAAAAGCAGUCUCAGUUCGGAUUGCGGGCUGCAACUCGCCCGCAUGAAGCCGGAAUCGCUAGUAAUCGCGGAUCAGCAUGUCGCGGUGAAUACGUUCCCGGGCCUUGUACACACCGCCCGU
rnacentral:rRNA from 1 species